CACCGCCCGUCGCUUCUACCGAUUGGAUGGUUUAGUGAGGUCCUUGGAUCGGCCCCGCCGAGGUCGGUCACGGCCCUGGCGGAGCGUUGAGAAGACGAUCAAACUUGACUAUCAAGAGGAAGUAAAAGUCGUAACAAGGUUCCCACAGGUGAUCAUUAAUGGG
rnacentral:ncRNA from 1 species